rnacentral:lncRNA from 1 species
AAGAAUUUAAAAUAUUACAUUAAUUUAGUUGAUGAAGCAAUGGCAGGUUUGAGAGGAUUGACUCAUUUUGAAAGACGAUCUACUGUGGGUAAAAUGCUAUCAAAUAGCGUCUCAUGCUACAAAGAAAUUAUUCAUGAAAGGAAGAGUCACCUGAUGUAGCAAACCUCAUUGUUGUUUUAUUUUAAAAACUUGCCACAGCCACCCCAGCCUUCAGUAACCUCCACCCCGAGGAGUUGGCAGCCAUCCACACUGAGGCAGGACCCUUCACCAGCAAAAAGAUGAUGACUCUCUGAAAGCUCAGAUGAUGGUUAGCACUUUUUAGCAAUAAAGUAUUCUUAAAUUAAGGUACGUACUUUUUUUUUUUUUUUAGAUAUAAUGCUAUUGCACAGUUGAGAGACUGUAGUAAAGUGUAAAUACAACUUUUACAUGCACCGAGAAACCGAAACAUUCAUUUGAUGUGCUUUAUUGUGGUGGUCUGGAGUUUGCACAAUAUUUGCAAGGUUUGCCCAUAUAACCAUGAAAUGAAUUGCCCAGAGCUCAUAAGUAGUGGAGUAGAUUGCGGCUCCAGUUCAGACUUUCCACCGUACCAUGCCACCUCUAUAUUUCCACCAUUUAAUUAGGGAGUUCCUUUCUCCCCUGGUUUCUUACAAUCCCUAUUUUGUAUGAUUUUCUUCCCAGUGGCACAUAGGACUAAACAUCGUUUGAAAAAAGAAAUCACUCUGUUGAUCUUUUGAGUAGAGUUAAUACUCUAGUAGAGAGGGAGAAAGCACUUCUCAAUUCUUUUGCUCUGUUGGUAGCAACAGUGCAGUCUGAGUUCUUGAAUAGUCUAGUCCAGAUUUCUGUUGACUAACACAUUCUCAUUAAAAACCACUUAUCUGAAUUCCUUUACUGAGGUUACUGCCCCUUUUGUGCAUUUGUGAUAGGGAGUUGCUUUGGGGAUUUGUUUUCCUGCUUGCACCUGUUUCAUAUCUUCAGCACACAGCCAGUCCAUGCCAGCACUGUACAGCAACCUUCCACAUAUUAUAGAUGCACUCAAAACCACGAGUGGUUUCCUUAAGGAAAAGCUUCUUUGCUGACGUGAGACCGAUAGUUCAACCUCUCAAAAUAUCUAGCUGUGGCCAUGUCCAUAUAAUUAAUACUGCUUUGAAAGAAUAGUUGAGCAAACAUCUUUCCUGGUCUGUGAUUAAACUUGAGAGACUGUAUAGUUCACUUGGGAGGCAGGAGUUCCACUCCAUAUUAUAUUGUAAAGGCUUAUCCAUAUGGAAAUAUGGAGAGCUAGUUAUCCACUUUCACAACUGUGAAUUGUUUGUACACCUAUUGGUGUACAUUUAGAUUUUUUUCCAGUUUCCUAAAAAAAGGUCUGUUUGUUUUGCUAUUACAAACUGUUGCAGCGUAUAUUCUUGUUCAUGUCUACUUGUGAACAUUUCCAAGAAUUUUUCUAGAGUGCAUGCUAAGAAACAGAAUUGAUGAUUCACUGUGUGUUUCUCAUCUUUACCUUUAUUAGCUAUUGCCAAAUUGUGCUCCAGUUUACACUCUGAGUAGCAGUAGAUGGAGGAGACACUUUCUUUGACCACACAUCUUCAUUAGCCUUUGGUUUUAUCGGAUAUUUAUUUAUUUAUUUUUGCCUUCCUAAUGGGUGUGAAAUAUUCCACUCUAGUUUUGAAAUACUUCAAGUAUUUGAUAAUGGCUGACUUGGUAGCUCUGUGAAAAUAGGGCUUGUUCUAAAUGAAAUAGAUAAUGCAGGAGAAGAAUUUAUUCAAUGAGGUCCCAAUGACGGUGGUCAAGGAAACCAGUUGCUGCCAGUCUUUGAGCGGUUGUAUUAAAAAAUAAAAAUGUAAAUAAAUAAAUAAAUAAAUAAAUAAAUAAAUAAAAAUAAAUAAAUAAUAAAAUGUCACCGGUGUUCUUAUUUUAACAAGUUAUAAACAGUUCUUCCCCUUUUCCUAUGCUACUGACCUUUUUCUCUUCAGACUGGGUUAUUCAUUUGGUACUAGCAAUAAAUAAGUCAAGACUGACACCCAUCUGCAUGAGGAAAGUAGUUGCUUAGAAAUGGGAAGAGUGGGGGUGGGAUGCUGUGAUUGGCACAGCCACUUAAGCACAGGACUUCUGGUUUCAGCUCAGGUUGUAAUAUGGGGCUCCACUUGGGCUCUGCACUCAGAUCAGAGUUUCUUGAGUUUCUCCCUCUCCAUCUGCCCCUUCUACUUGUAUUCUUUUGCUCUCCAAAAUAAGUACAUCUUUAAAAAAAAUGGAGAAACGUGAAGACUGAAUUUAAGCAGUGUGCUGAAUUUCCUUGGACAUGCCUGAAAAUGUUCUUGGAUGCUUGGGGUAGGGUGGAGGAGCUGGCCCCUGCCCUGCAGAGGCAGGCAGGAAAAUGGGCCCUGUGAGGCUGGGCCAGGCUCUGGAGAAAAGUUCCAGCCCCCAGGCCUGAUUAGUUAGUUGCUCUUAAUCUGUGUUUAUUUUCCCUUCGUUACCUCUGAGCCUUUAAUUGAGUCUUAUUUCAUAACUUUAGCCUUCGUGCUGCUCUACUACAGGGAAUAAAGGAAAGAGUCUUAAGUACACUUGAGUCUGACUUGUGGAAGAGCAGAAGUGGCCCUGGAGACAAAGAUGGCAACAGUGAUGGUGACAAGACUCCAAGGGAAAGGUGAAUCUUGAGGGGACUGAAAUCUGGUUAUCAAUUCAGGCUCCUGUUCUUAUGUAGAGAUCCUACCUCCAUUCUGAUCUUGGGUGGGUUAUAAAGGGAGUUUCCCUCAUCGGCUUCUAGGCAGGUGAAUCCUGGCUGACUCACUUGUGAGACAAGCCCCCUGUUCCUUCAUUUCCAGGGAGUUGGCAUGAUGCCGCAGAAAGAGCAGAGCAUGCUCUUUGAAGGUGGCAAACGAGUUUACAUCCAUGCUGGGAAAGGUUUCUGCACAUGGGCAAUUUACUUCUGCUCCCUGAGCCUCCAAUUCCUCAGCUCUGCGAAGAGGAUAAGAGUGCCUGCCUUCGAGAGUUACAGUGAGGAUGAAAUAUGAUCGCUUAGGUGAAAGCACCUCCUAUAACAUCUGGAACACAGCAGACAUCGAAGAAGACAUUCAUUCCCUUCCUCCCCUACCCCCACUCCUCUGUCUCUGAGAGCAGCUUUCCCCACAACCCCCGGCCCCCCAAGGGUCCUUCGUGCUGGCCCCGCACCUCUCGUGAGCCUCCAUGCCUUCAUAAAAGUUGACCUCUCCCAGGCCUUGUCUCUGCUAUUGGGUAACAAUUGACUUACGAUGAUUAGCUCCAUGUCGUACACUCUUAUUGACAACUUAGGGGACCACAGGAGAUUUAUGGGGGAGAUGCACUAUCUGGGGGACAGUAGGAAUCUAGCAGUAAUUAACACUAACCUCCAGAUCAUACCACUUACCUUCAGGGAAAGCCUUAGCGUGGGGUUUGGAAGUAAAUGGAUUUUUCUCUGAAAGCCCCCAAGGAGCAAUCACUGUCCUCACUGCCCUUAAGAUAACUGCCUCUCCUCACUGCUGGAAGAGAUUUAGGACCAACAGAUGAGAUUACAAUUAUCCAUGACACUCUUUGGCCUUAAAUUAAAAUGCUUUCAAUGGUGGGUGGCUGGCUGAGGUGGCUGGCUCUGUAACCUUCCGUUGUUCAGUUAGCAGUUCAGAUUUGCCCCUGCAGCAGCAUUCUCCUUUAGGGAGGAAGGCGGCCUGUGAUGAGGAUAAGCGGGGGCCUCAGCCCUGCGCCUAACCACAGACACUCAGCUGGCUGGAAACAUCCCUCCCUCUGGCACCACUGCGCCUUCCUGACACUCUCAGUGGAGAAACUGAAGAUCAAACAAGUUUAAUCUCUGACCCCCACACUGGCCACCUAGCAGGAGUCUGUCUUUAGGGCAAGGGGGAUCUGAAAUAAUUCAUGUUGCCCUCUCCACAGUGUUCUUUCUCCACAGGAGGCUGUUGGCUGCUUAGGGCUAUCAAUCUGACAUACUUCUCCACUUCUGCACGGAGACUAAAAUACCAUUUAAGUCUUAUUCCAACAUUUCUCAAAUCAUGUGGGUAUUACCAAGCAUGAAAUCAUCAUCUAAAAACUCAAUUUUAAAGAGCUGGUUCUUUGGGAAAAAUAAGAAAGAACAUUUCCCCCUGUUUACUCUGAGAUUUGUUUUUUUUUUUUUUUUCCAACAGUGUGGUUAUUGUGUUUUUCUUAAUCUUCGGAGAUUAUGC